rnacentral:rRNA from 1 species
GAUGAACGCUGGCGGCGUGCCUAAUACAUGCAAGUCGAGCGAACAGACGAGGAGCUUGCUCCUCUGACGUUAGCGGCGGACGGGUGAGUAACACGUGGAUAACCUACCUAUAAGACUGGGAUAACUUCGGGAAACCGGAGCUAAUACCGGAUAAUAUAUUGAACCGCAUGGUUCAAUAUUGAAAGACGGUUUUGCUGUCACUUAUAGAUGGAUCCGCGCCGCAUUAGCUAGUUGGUAAGGUAACGGCUUACCAAGGCAACGAUGCGUAGCCGACCUGAGAGGGUGAUCGGCCACACUGGAACUGAGACACGGUCCAGACUCCUACGGGAGGCAGCAGUAGGGAAUCUUCCGCAAUGGGCGAAAGCCUGACGGAGCAACGCCGCGUGAGUGAUGAAGGUCUUCGGAUCGUAAAACUCUGUUAUUAGGGAAGAGCAAAUGUGUAAGUAACUAUGCACGUCUUGACGGUACCUAAUCAGAAAGCCACGGCUAACUACGUG